rnacentral:rRNA from 1 species
GUAUAACAACAUUUGAGUUGGCACACCAGCUCGGUUUAGAAAUUGCUGUGUCAUGUACAAGGCAGCUUUUUCUUGUGUUUCAGGUUUAUGUAUAUAUAAUACCCUAUUAAAAGUGUAUUUUGUUUUGAAAUGAAAUAAUAAUACAACUUUCAACAACGGAUCUCUUGGCUCUCGCAUCGAUGAAGAACGCAGCGAAAUGCGAUAAGUAAUGUGAAUUGCAGAAUUCAGUGAAUCAUCGAAUCUUUGAACGCACCUUGCACUUCUUGGUAUUCCGAGAAGCAUGCCUGUUUGAGUGUCAUGAUAUUCUCAACCUGUCUUUACUUUUUAGUCAGGCUUGGACUUAUGGGAAUUGCUGGUUGUUUAUUCAAAAUCAGCUCUCCUUAAAAAUAUCAGCAGAAUUAUUUCUGAUCCCUUAUGGUAUGAUAAUUAUCUAUACCAGGAUUCGUAAAAUGAUUUUGCUUCAAACAGUCUGCAUCAGACAAUAAAACAGUUUUGACCUCAAAUCAGGUAGGAUUACCCGCUGAACUUAAGCAUAU